rnacentral:lncRNA from 1 species
CUUGGAUAGAUUAUCCAGAAUUAGUGUAAUUACUUUUUUAAAUGUUUGAUAGAAUUUGCCAAUAAAACCAUCUAGUCCUAAAGAUUGCAUGUGGUGGGGGUUGAAAGGGAGAGAGAUUAUUUGGUUUGGCUGUUUUUAAAAUUAUUUUAGUGCAAAUAUUUAUUUAUUUUUAGAGUAGUUUUAAGUUCAUUGCAAACACAAUGGAGUAUUACGCAGCACUAAAAAUGACAAAAUCAUGGCAUUUGCAGGGAAAUGGAUGGCACUAGAGCAGAUUAUGCUAAGUGAAGCUAGCCAAUCCCUAAAAAACAAAUGCUAAAUGUCUUCUUUGAUAUAAGGAGAGCAACUAAGAACAGAGCAGGGAGGAAGAGCAUGAGGAAAAGAUUAACAUUAAACAGGGACAAGAGGUGGUAGGGAAAGGGAGAGAGAAGGGAAAUUGCAUGGAAAUGGAAGGAGACCCUCAUUGUUAUACAAAAUUACAUAUAAGAGGAUGUGAGGGGAAAGGAGAAAAAAAAAAAACAAGGGAGA